CAUAUCAAUAAGCGGAGGAAAAGAAACCAACAGGGAUUGCCUCAGUAACGGCGAGUGAAGCGGCAAAAGCUCAAAUUUGAAAUCUGGCUCCUUUGGGGCCCGAGUUGUAAUUUGCAGAGGAUGCUUCGGCGUGGCCGCGGUCUAAGUCCCCUGGAACGGGGUGUCGCAGAGGGUGAGAAUCCCGUCUUCGGCCGGCCGUUCGCCCAUGUGAAGCUCCUUCGACGAGUCGAGUUGUUUGGGAAUGCAGCUCUAAAUGGGUGGUAAAUUUCAUCUAAAGCUAAAUAUUGGUCGGAGACCGAUAGCGCACAAGUAGAGUGAUCGAAAGAUGAAAAGCACUUUGAAAAGAGAGUUAAACAGCAUCGUGAAAUUGUUGAAAGGGAAGCGCUUGCGACCAGAGUCGGCCGUGGGGGUUCAGCGGGCAUUCGUUGCCCGUGCACUCCCCCACGGGCGGGCCAGCGUCGGUUUCGACGGCCGGUCAAAGGCCCCCGGAAUGUGUCGCCUCUCGGGGCGUCUUAUAGCCGGGGGUGCAAUGCGGCCAGUCGGGACCGAGGAA
rnacentral:rRNA from 1 species